rnacentral:lncRNA from 1 species
GGGAUGAGAUGGGAUGGGAUAGAGCCGGAUGUGAUGUAAUAGAACAGGAUGGGAUGGAAUAGANNNNNNNNNNAUCUCUGUGUCUGUGUGUGCUGUCUCCGUGUGCACCUGUGUGUGGGCCUGGGUGUGUGCUCACAUUCGUGUCCAAGUGUUUGUGUGUACUGAGUGCAUGCAUGCCUACCCACCAUGGCAUGUGGUGUGGUGGACACAGAAGCCAUCUGAGGGCAGGUGGCCCCGAGGCAGCCCACCUGGGUGUGGGCACUUUCUUACUCAGAGCCCAGCACAUGUGGUAACCUAGACACAAGAGCCAUCUCCAGGACCACGUUUUAUUUUCAAGCGAGGGCUCAAAUGCUGACAUUCUGCUCUGCGCUAGACUUUAAGGGGACCGUCAGGAUGUCGGUUUCGGGCCUGACUGGCUGUCUGGUCAGCAUGGGUACUGGCAGUGUAAGUCAGUGGUGGGCAC